AUACGUAGGUGGCAAGCGUUAUCCGGAAUUAUUGGGCGUAAAGAGGGAGCAGGCGGUUAAUUAAGUCUGCGGUUAAAGCGUGGGGCUAAACCCCAUAAAGCCUUGGAAAAUGAUUGAUUGGGGUAAGGGAGAAGGGAGGGGAACUCCAUGGGUAGGGGUGAAAUGCGUAUAUAGAUGGAAGAACACCAGUGGCGAAGGCGCUUAACUAGCCAGAAACUGACACUCAGUCACGAAAGCGUGGUUAGCAAAUAGGAUUAGAUACCCUAGUAGUCCACGCGGUAAUCGAUGACAACUAAAUAGUUCCGCGAGGCAGUGUUGAAGCUAACGCAUUAAGUUGUCCGCCUGGGGAGUACGGUCGCAAGACUGAAACUCAAAGGAAUUGACGGGG
rnacentral:rRNA from 1 species